rnacentral:tRNA from 1 species
GCGCCGGUGGUUUAGUGGUUAGAAUCUCGGCCUUCCAAGCCGAUAACCCGGGUUCGAAUCCCGGCCGGCGCA